rnacentral:rRNA from 1 species
AGCAGCCGCGGUAAUUCCAGCUCCAAUAGCGUAUAUUAAAGUUGUUGCAGUUAAAAAGCUCGUAGUUGAAUUUCGAGACCGGCUUACUGGUCGUGCUUUUGUACGUACUGGUAUAAUCGGUUUCUCCUUUCUGACGAACUAUAAUGCCAUUAAUUUGGUGUUAUAGGGAAUCAGGACUGUUACUUUGAAAAAAUUAGAGUGUUUAAAGCAGGCUCACGCUUGAAUACAUUAGCAUGGAAUAACGGAAUAGGACGUUUGAUUCUAUUUUGUUGGUUUCUAGGAUCGACGUAAUGAUUAAUAGGGAUAGUUGGGGGCAUUAGUAUUCAAUUGUCAGAGGUGAAAUUCUUGGAUUUAUUGAAGACUAACUACUGCGAAAGCAUUUGCCAAGGAUGUUUUCAUUAAUCAAGAACGAAAGUUAGGGGAUCGAAGACGAUCAGAUACCGUCGUAGUCUUAACCAUAAACUAUGCCGACUAGGGAUCGGAUGAUGUUAAUUUUUAAUGACUCAUUCG